rnacentral:rRNA from 1 species
GAUGAACGCUGGCGGCGUGCCUAAUACAUGCAAGUCGAGCGAACAGAUGAGGAGCUUGCUCCUCUGACGUUAGCGGCGGACGGGUGAGUAACACGUGGAUAACCUACCUAUAAGACUGGGAUAACUUCGGGAAACCGGAGCUAAUACCGGAUAAUAUAUUGAACCGCAUGGUUCAAUAGUGAAAGACGGUUUUGCUGUCACUUAUAGAUGGAUCCGCGCCGCAUUAGCUAGUUGGUAAGGUAACGGCUUACAAAGGCAACGAUGCGUAGCCGACCUGAGAGGGUGAUCGGCCACACUGGAACUGAGACACGGUCCAGACUCCUACGGGAGGCAGCAGUAGGGAAUCUUCCGCAAUGGGCGAAAGCCUGACGGAGCAACGCCGCGUGAGUGAUGAAGGUCUUCGGAUCGUAAAACUCUGUUAUUAGGGAAGAACAAAUGUGUAAGUAACUAUGCACGUCUUGACGGUACCUAAUCAGAAAGUCACGGCUAACUACGUG